rnacentral:rRNA from 1 species
UACGUAGGGAGCAAGCGUUGUCCGGAAUGAUUGGGCGUAAAGCGUCCGCAGGUGGCAGUUCAAGUCUGCUGUCAAAGACCGGGGCUUAACUUCGGAAAGGCAGUGGAAACUGAACAGCUAGAGUAUGGUAGGGGCAGAGGGAAUUCCUGGUGUAGCGGUGAAAUGCGUAGAGAUCAGGAAGAACAUCGGUGGCGAAGGCGCUCUGCUGGACCAUAACUGACACUCAGGGACGAAAGCUAGGGGAGCGAAUGGG